AGUCUGGUGCCAGCAGCCGCGGUAAUUCCAGCUCCAAUAGCGUAUAUUAAAGUUGUUGCGGUUAAAAAGCUCGUAGUUGGAUCUCGGUUUCACUCAGGUGGUACACCUUGCGGUGUUCACUAUCUGGGUGGACGUUUCUGUUGGUUCGCUCUUGGUGCUCUUCAUCGGGUGCCAUUUGGUGGCCAGCACGUUUACUUUGAAAAAAUUGGAGUGCUCAAAGCAGGCGUUACAGCCUGAACAUUAGUGCAUGGAAUAAUGGAAUAGGAUCUCGAUUCUAUUUCGUUGGCUUUCGGAGUCGAGGUAAUGAUUAAUAGGGACAGACGGGGGCAUUCGUACUGCGACGUUAGAGGUGAAAUUCUUGGAUCGUCGCAAGACGAACUACUGCGAAAGCAUUUGCCAAGAAUGUUUUCAUUAAUCAAGAACGAAAGUUAGAGGUUCGAAGGCGAUCAGAUACCGCCCUAGUUCUAACCAUAAAUGAUGCCAACCGGCGAUCCGUCGUCGUUAAUUGAAUGACUCGACGGGCAGCCUCCGGGAAACCAGAGUGUUUGGGUUCCGGGGGAAGUAUGGUUGCAAAGCUGAAACUUAAAGGAAUUGACGGAAGGGCACCACCAGGAGUGGAGCCUGCGGCUUAAUUUGACCCAACACGGGAAAUCUCACCAGGCCCGGACACCGGAAGGAUUGACAGAUUGAGAGCUCUUUCUUGAUUCGGUGGGUGGUGGUGCAUGGCCGUUCUUAGUUGGUGGAGCGAUUUGUCUGGUUAAUUCCGAUAACGAACGAGACUCUGGCCUACUAACUAGAAGGUCUAUCCUUUAUGGGUAGGCCUCUGCUUCUUAGAGGGACGGGCGGCGUUUAGCCGCACGAGAAUGAGCAAUAACAGGUCUGUGAUGCCCUUAGAUGUUCUGGGCUGCACGCGCGCUACACUGAAGGAAUCAGCAUGUUCUCCCCUCCCUGAAAAGGGCGGGUAACCCGUUGAAACUCCUUCGUGAUGGGGAUUGGAGAUUGUAAUUAUUCUCCAUGAACGAGGAAUUCCCAGUAGGCGCGAGUCAUCAGCUUGCGUCGAUUACGUCCCUGCCCUUUGUACACACCGCCCGUCGCUACUACCGAUCGAGUGAUUUAGUGAGGACUUCGGACUGGUCUUCAAGUUGGCUUCGGUCGGCUCGAAGUUCCGGAAAGAUGCCCAAACUUGAUCACUUAGAGGAAGUAAAAGUCGUAACAAGGUUUCCGUAGGUGAACCUGCGGAAG
rnacentral:rRNA from 1 species